UGUCGGAGCCGGAGGUUCCGGAACAAAAGAGUUCACAACAAACUCUAUUCCGGACUCUCUGUCGCCGACACA
rnacentral:pre_miRNA from 1 species